rnacentral:rRNA from 1 species
UACAGAGGGCGCGAGCGUUGUCCGGAAUCACUGGGCGUAAAGGGCGCGUAGGUGGCGGCAUAAGGCUGUGGUGAAAGUCCGGGGCUCAACUCCGGAUCGGCCGUGGCAACUGUGUCGCUAGGGCACCGUAGAGGCAGAUGGAAUUCCUGGUGUAGUGGUGAAAUACGUAGAUAUCAGGAGGAAUACCGGUGGCGAAGGCGGCUAUCUGGCCAGAUACUGACGCUGAGACCCGAAAGCAUGGGGAUCAAACAGG